GGAUGUGGGGGCGAUCUGGCUGCAACAUCUGUCACCCAUUGAUCGCCAGGGUUGAUUCGGCUGAUGUGGCUGGGUAGGCGGGUGCCCCUUCCUCCCUCACCGCCCCAUGUGCGUCCCUCCGCGCUCCCAUAGCCGAGCUGGGUCGAAGAGGACGACCUUCCCCAAAUAGAGGAGGACCAGUCUUUGGUCAAGGGUAUACGAGUAGCUGCACUCUCUUGCUAGAACCUCCAAACAAGCUCUCAAAACAAAUAAAAAUCAAGUCAGCAGGCAAGGUUUCUGAUGCUUGGCUCAAAGGCUUUUCAUUGAAGGGGGAAGGAUCUCAAGGG
rfam:Cricetulus griseus cell line CHO-K1, whole genome shotgun sequence.